ensembl:snRNA U7 U7 small nuclear RNA
AAAUGAGUAUGUUUUUUAGUAUUUGUCAAGCAGGUUUCUUCCAACAAAGAAGCCCCU